CAGAUUCCUCUAUCUUCUGCAUCACGUGACAGGAGUUUGCAAAACAAGGACACUUCAGGAACAGAGCAACAUACAAAAGUGGUUCAAACCCCAUCACUAUGUAUAAUUGGGAGUUUUGGGGCAACGUGCAUCAUCUGACAUCAGGAACAGGGAAGCUCAGGGCUGGUGGGCCUCCCUCCUCACUGGCUCUGUGCCCUUGAGUGCUGCGUGUGCCCGCACUGCCUCCUGAACUGGGAUACUGCCUCUCGCUAGCUUGCAUGGAUGGGGGGGGCAUGUAUAGAGAAAACGUGUUGUGUUUUUCUUUUGCCUGGCUGGAAUGUAUCCUAUUGCAAGAGUCACAUCUGUUGCUUCACCCACUUUUGCCUCUGGCCACUAGCAUGCAGCCCCCCAAAGAUUCCCCCUCAUGGAGAUGCAGCACAUGGGCUGAAAAAAGCUCCCUACUUCCGCUCUACAUUAACUUAUACUGAAACGUAUUUGCCAUUUUGUUGUCCAUUCAUCCGGUUUGGAGAGCUGACGACGAUAAAGCAUCCAUCUCAACACCACUGUCUCCUUUCUCUCUCUCUCUCUGUCUCUCACACAAACAUAACCCUGCAUGUGGAGUACUUAGCAUGACUGAAAAUGGUACCUGAAGAUCCUGAAUGUCAACUCCCUAUCCUAUCAACUGCAUUUCCACAG